GACGAACGCUGGCGGCGUGCUUAACACAUGCAAGUCGAACGGAAAGGCUCCAGCUUGCUGGAGUACUCGAGUGGCGAACGGGUGAGUAACACGUGGGUAAUCUGCCCUGCACUCUGGGAUAAGCCUGGGAAACUGGGUCUAAUACUGGAUAUGACCUUUCUCCUUAUGGGGUUUGGUGGAAAGUUUUUCGGUGUAGGAUGAGCCCGCGGCCUAUCAGCUUGUUGGUGGGGUGAUGGCCUACCAAGGCGACGACGGGUAGCCGGACUGAGAGGGUGAUCGGCCACAUUGGGACUGAGAUACGGCACAGACUCCUACGGGAGGCAGCAGUGGGGAAUAUUGCACAAUGGGCGGAAGCCUGAUGCAGCGACGCCGCGUGAGGGAUGACGGCCUUCGGGUUGUAAACCUCUUUCAGCAGGGACGAAGCGUAAGUGACGGUACCUGCAGAAGAAGCACCGGCUAACUAUGUG
rnacentral:rRNA from 1 species